rnacentral:rRNA from 1 species
GACUCUGCCCAAUGAAUAUUUUUAAUGGCUGCAGUAAUUUAACUGUACAAAGGUAGCAUAAUAAAUUGUUUUUUAAAUGAAAACUUGAAUGAAAGAGGUGAUGAAAUAUAAUCUUUUUUUAAAUUAAUAUUUAAAAUUUUAUUUUAAAUAAAAAUAUUUAAAUUAAAUUAAGGGACGAGAAGACCCUAUAGAAUUUAAUAAUAUAAUUUUUUUAAUAUAAGUUAAAUUAAUAUUAUUURUUUGGGAGGAAUUUUAAAAUUUUAAACUUUAAGUGUAGAUUACAUAUGUAAAUGAUUUAUGUGAUUUUUUAUUUAGAAAUUUUAAAUUAAAUUACCUUAGGGAUAACAGCGUAAUA